AAUCAAGCCUCUCCGCGGCUGGAUGAUUCCGCUGCUCGGAGCUGCCCACCUGGUUGGCACAGCAGGGAAGAUCAGUCCUCUGCCUCCUGUGUGCAACCCUAACAAUGCCAAAAAGCGGGUGGUUUCUGUGAGCCCGCCAUCCGCUCUUACACCGCAGCUCCUCCCUGGGCUAAGUUGAAGCAGAGCGGCUGCUGCUAAAAUUAGCCCUCCUGGGAACUCCCAGAGGGUCAGAGCACUUGAAGCAGAAAAAGAAUUACUCUGUCCUGGCAGUCUGGGAGAGACAGAAGAGGACAGAAACGGGCAGCCAGCAGCCAUUAACUAGUUUGUGUGCUCCUGCACGGGUGUCCUAAUUGGACUUGUUGACUUCAGACAGCCUACAUUCAUCUAAGAGAAGAAGCCUCAGCUGAGGAAUGGUCUCCAUCAGACUGGCCUGUGGCCAUGCCUUCUGGGGACUGUUUUGAUUCGGAAUUGACAUGGGAGGGCACUGCCCACUGUAGGCAGCUCCAUCCCUAGGCAGCCUGGAACCUGCUUGCUCAAGGGUG